UACGUAGGGUGCAAGCGUUGUCCGGAAUUAUUGGGCGUAAAGAGCUCGUAGGCGGUCUGUCGCGUCGGCUGUGAAAACCCGAGGCUCAACCUCGGGCCUGCAGUCGAUACGGGCAAACUAGAGUACUGCAGGGGAGACUGGAAUUCCUGGUGUAGCGGUGAAAUGCGCAGAUAUCAGGAGGAACACCGGUGGCGAAGGCGGGUCUCUGGGCAGUAACUGACGCUGGAGGAG
rnacentral:rRNA from 1 species